UGCCUGGGUACUGGUAGCUCUGCUGCUUGCAUAUGCUACAAAAAUCCGACACAAUAAUACAUGCAGCUGAAACAUUUGAAAGUACAACAAUGUGAUCCAACUGGCAUAUGCUGCAAUGCGCCACACACGUACCUGUAGCUGGAAGGUUCAAAAGUUAUGGCGUGGGAUCCUGGCAUAGGCCUCUGCUAGUGAGCAAUGUGCCACAGGCGUACCUGUAGCUGGAACAUUUGAAAGUUGCGACAGUGUCAUCAUGGCAUAUACCUGUACUACAAUGCACAAAAAUUUUACAGUUUUAAGCUUUUUGUGCAAGAAACUGACUUGCAGGCCAGCUUUGGAAAUUUCUCCCCACUGAAUAAAAAUAUUCCCCAGAUGCGAAAUGAUAGUAGACCACAAUAGUACAAACAUUACAACCAAAGCUCUUACAUCUUGGCCAGCAACGAAGACAAGUGUAUAAAUUGUAUUGACGACCUUUGUGAGAUGCAAUUAUUUCAACUAGACUGGCAGAUCAACACAGUUUAGAGAAGAAUCUGGUGUUGGAGCCUGAUCAUCCAAGAUGGUUUAAAGCGACCAUCACCAAAGUUGUACCACCAGCAAUGGAAGGGCUCAAUGAAGGUUUUUCUAGAUUAACUUGAAUUUGCAGGUUAAUUUAGGAAUGCAUAUUGAUUGACACAUAAAGCUGCAGAUGCUUAAAAUGUAACACAAGAUAUUGAAGAGUUAAAUUGUACUUAUGUGAUAGGGACCUUGUUCCAAGCAUAGUAGAGUUGACUGUUACUUGAUUGGUUAACAGUCUACUUUAUAUUCAUGAGGUAAUCCUUCGUAAAUUAAUGUUAACUUUCUACAGCAUCAUGAGAAUUAAUCUGUGCAAGCUAUCAAGCCAUUAAGUGUGUUCACAGUGUUUCUUAUAUUCAGGGGUUACUUUAUAUUGGUAUAGAUUAAGAAUGAAUUUCUUUGUAUUUUAUUUUUCAUUUAGUAUACUUCUUUCUUUAUUUUAUAUAAAAAAAAUUUAAUAUACUAGGAGCGGAUUUGGGGGCGGGGUGCCGGGCCGGUCGUGGCCUCUUUUAGAAAGUAAGAAAAAAAAUGAGAAAAAGUUUGAUCGCCCAAAUCGCCUCAGGGGUAUUUUCAGGCGUCUAGAAAACAAAAAUUAGUGUUAUCUUGAUUGGCCCCCUUUUUAUCAUUUUAAAAAAAGAAGGGCAAAUGAACAAUUUUUUUUUUGGCCUUGUAUUGCUAGAAACAUACCUGCAUUUCAACUUUGAUAAUAAUUCCGCAGCUUCUAGUGUUGAUGCUGUUUGUCCAAUUCAGACCCUUCAACAUCAUACAGUACACGUCAUUAACAACAGGGCAUUCUAUUAUUUUGUUUGAUCUACUGGCAAGUUCCACUGCUGAUAAUGGCCGUCCCUUAGACAUAACAAAAAAUAGCGAGCUUUUCACCAACCCAUGAUUUAGACACUCAUGAUAUUUUACAUGGGUCCGGAGUGCUUCUCUAACAGCUGUGUCAUCAGCUUGCCUUUUGGUCCUAUCUUGAUUGUGUGUUUUGACGAUUGUAUUAGAGCAGUUUAGCAGUUGGUGGUUUGACAGGUAAGACAGGACCUUCAAGCACCUGUUAUAAUAGUCUCUGCAUAUUCUGAUACACGCCUAGCCAUCUCCAGAUGGGUUCGAGUCCCACCCGAGAACAACUUGCGAUUUUUUUCGCUAUUGUUUUCAAACGUACUGAGUAUUCAGUACAUUUCAUGUCAGGUAGGGCAAAAUUACACCUAUACAUGUUUCUCCUCACGCAAAUCCAGUUAUUGUCUGUGCCAUCACGACAAUAACAAUUACUACUGUAUAUUUCUGCUGUUAUAAACUAUUACAAGCUGUAGGUAAUGACCAGCUACUAACGAUGCUUUUAAAUGCUAUUUAAUGCUUAGACCAAUCCUGCGCUUUAGUGGAGGCAGAAUGCAAAACUACUGCUUCAUGCCGCUUUAAUUGUUGACAUCCAGGCUUCCUUCAGAUCACUGUUGAACAUAUCUACUGUCUU